GCCUGGGUGGCUCAGCUGGUUUAGCAUCUGACUUUGGCUCAGGUCAUGAUCUCAUGAUUCUUGGGUUCAAGCCCCGCAUCAGGCU
rnacentral:tRNA from 1 species